AAGAAGUGCUGCAGUGGCGCCGCCCCUCGCUCCUUUUGCGCUGAGCCGCGGCUCUGAUGUGGCGGGAGGAGAUGGCGCUCUGGUGGUGGCCUCUGUGCAGAGCAGAUAGCGGCCGCGUGUCUCCACAUGUUUUCGGUGGUGACACAAGAGUAAGCACUCAGGAGCAGCUCGACAUGUGGGAUGAACACACUGAGGACUCAUCAUAUCCUGAUGGACUCUGCGUGGGAGAACUUAACUAGAGAGCUGUACGCAACUGACGGGGAGCAGCACCUCCUCACAAAGAGAAUGGUUAAGGUAAAGAUUCGCUGGCACACCUGAUCUAUUUUUGUGUGAAAUGCUGCCACCAUGCAGUGAAUUGGGUGCUCAAAAAUGAAGCCUAUAUAUGUGCCACCAGCAGCUGAUGUUACGAAGAUCAAGAUGUAAUGGGACCUGACCUUGACAGAAAAACAAAUGCAAGUGGGCCUUAAUACUAUAAUAGGCUUGGUAGUUAAAGGAGUUUAUGUUCUCAUCAGUUCCAAAAUGGAAUUAAAUUGAGGAUGAGGCGGAAGCUUCCACCACUCCUAAAUCGCUCUCGUGGCCCACUGCAGAGGAUCCAGAGGUGAAUGAGUAACCAGGGACUUCUGCUGCAUCCAACCCACCAGCUGCCGAACCAGUUAGUGUCCAGACACCAUUCCAGAGCCCUGAUCACCCGGCGACUGAGCAUGCCAUCCACUGCAGCAGCUAUAGGCCAAAGAGUUCUGGAAUACAUCUUGGAAGCUCAAUCUGAGAAUGACGAUGUCCUUUCCCUCGGAAGUUUGGCAUCUCGACUCCUGGCAAUUCCUGCAGCACUGCAAUUGU